AUUGAACGCUGGCGGCAUGCCUUACACAUGCAAGUCGAACGGUAACAGGUCUUCGGAUGCUGACGAGUGGCGAACGGGUGAGUAAUACAUCGGAACGUGCCUAGUAGUGGGGGAUAACUACUCGGAAGAGUGGCUAAUACCGCAUGAGAUCUACGGAUGAAAGCAGGGGAUCGCAAGACCUUGUGCUACUAGAGCGGCCGAUGGCAGAUUAGGUAGUUGGUGGGAUAAAAGCUUACCAAGCCGACGAUCUGUAGCAGGUCUGAGAGGACGAUCAGCCACACUGGGACUGAGACACGGCCCAGACUCCCACGGGAGGCAGCAGUGGGGAAUUGUGGACAAUGGGCGAAAGCCUGAUCCAGCAAUGCCGCGUGCAGGAUGAAGGCCUUCGGGUUGUAAACUGCUUUUGUACGGAACGAAAAGCCCCGGGUUAAUACCCUGGGGUCAUGACGGUACCGUAAGAAUAAGCACCGGCUAACUACGUGCCAGCCGCCGCGGUAA
rnacentral:rRNA from 1 species